rnacentral:rRNA from 1 species
CCUACGGGAGGCUGCAGUGAGGAAUAUUGGUCAAUGGACGAGAGUCUGAACCAGCCAAGUAGCGUGAAGGAUGACUGCCCUAUGGGUUGUAAACUUCUUUUAUAUGGGAAUAAAAUGUUCCACGUGUGGGAUUUUGUAUGUACCAUAUGAAUAAGGAUCGGCUAACUCCGUGCCAGCAGCCGCGGUAAUACGGAGGAUCCGAGCGUUAUCCGGAUUUAUUGGGUUUAAAGGGAGCGUAGGUGGAUUGUUAAGUCAGUUGUGAAAGUUUGCGGCUCAACCGUAAAAUUGCAGUUGAAACUGGCAGUCUUGAGGACAGUAGAGGUGGGCGGAAUUCGUGGUGUAGCGGUGAAAUGCUUAGAUAUCACGAAGAACUCCGAUUGCGAAGGCAGUUCACUGGACUGCAACUGACACUGAGGCUCGAAAGUGUGGGUAUCAAACAGGAUUAGAUACCCGAGUAGUC